rnacentral:rRNA from 1 species
CAGGCUGAGCUGUGACGGCGAGGGAAAUUUAGUACCGAAGUUCCUGAUUCCACACUGCCAAGAAAAGCCUCUAGCGAGGGAAAAGGUGCCCGUACCGCAAACCGACACAGGUAGGCGAGGAGAGAAUCCUAAGGUGAGCGAGAGAACUCUCGUUAAGGAACUCGGCAAAAUGACCCCGUAACUUCGGGAGAAGGGGUGCUCAUUAGGGUGAAUAGCCCUGAUGAGCCGCAGUGAAUAGGCCCAGGCGACUGUUUAGCAAAAACACAGGUCUCUGCGAAGCCGCAAGGCGAAGUAUAGGGGCUGACGCCUGCCCGGUGCUGGAAGGUUAAGAGGAGAGGUUAGCGCAAGCGAAGCUUUGAAUCGAAGCCCCAGUAAACGGCGGCCGUAACUAUAACGGUCCUAAGGUAGCGAAAUUCCUUGUCGGGUAAGUUCCGACCCGCACGAAAGGCGUAACGAUCUGGGCACUGUCUCAACGAGAGACUCGGUGAAAUUAUAGUACCUGUGAAGAUGCAGGUUACCCGCGACAGGACGGAAAGACCCCGUGGAGCUUUACUGUAGCCUGAUAUUGAAUUUUGGUACAGCUUGUACAGGAUAGGUAGGAGCCUGAGAAGCCGGAGCGCCAGCUUCGGUGGAGGCGUCGGUGGGAUACUACCCUGGCUGUAUUGAAAUUCUAACCCGCGCCCCUUAUCGGGGCGGGAGACAGUGUCAGGUGGGCAGUUUGACUGGGGCGGUCGCCUCCUAAAAAGUAACGGAGGCGCCCAAAGGUUCCCUCAGAAUGGUUGGAAAUCAUUCGCAGAGUGUAAAGGCACAAGGGAGCUUGACUGCGAGACCUACAAGUCGAGCAGGGACGAAAGUCGGGCUUAGUGAUCCGGUGGUUCCGCAUGGAAGGGCCAUCGCUCAACGGAUAAAAGCUACCCCGGGGAUAACAGGCUUAUCUCCCCCAAGAGUCCACAUCGACGGGGAGGUUUGGCACCUCGAUGUCGGCUCAUCGCAUCCUGGGGCUGUAGUCGGUCCCAAGGGUUGGGCUGUUCGCCCAUUAAAGCGGUACGCGAGCUGGGUUCAGAACGUCGUGAGACAGUUCGGUCCCUAUCCGUCGUGGGCGCAGGAAAUUUGAGAGGAGCUGUCCUUAGUACGAGAGGACCGGGAUGGACGCACCGCUGGUGUACCAGUUGUCUUGCCAAAGGCAUCGCUGGGUAGCUAUGUGCGGAAGGGAUAAGUGCUGAAAGCAUCUAAGCAUGAAGCCCCCCUCGAGAUGAGAUUUCCCAUAGCGUCAAGCUAGUAAGAUCCCUGAAAGAUGAUCAGGUUGAUAGGUCAGAGGUGGAAGCGUGGCGACAUGUGGAGCUGACUGAUACUA